CCAUAUUAGAUUGCGACUAUUUUGAAUGGAAAUUUGGCGAAGAAGGACCGACUCUUGAGAUUCACUUGACUAUCAGUUUUACCACACAGUGGUGGUAGUGCUGAUAGUAGCUGGUGGAUUGUAUGGCAGCUUGAAGAGUCCAAAAAAUCACUGUACUUAGCAAGCGUAACCUUAGUUAAAGUUACUUAACCUUUAAGUAGCUCUCUAUAUAUUUUAAGACGCCGAGUUGCACAGCGCCAUUGUUUCACCUGUAUGUGCCAUGUAGAUAGCUCUCCGCCGAACCGAGCUCAGCUCAAAAGCUAGCAUGUUUGCUAACUUGACUCGGCUAACUUAGCUUAACCAUCUGCAACAUUAAUGUUUACUUCUUCGCUUUCGGGCACCUAUACAUGUCGAUAUGGCACAUAGGAAAGAAGUGUUUCUAUCAAAAGUACACCAGAAGCUUUACCCUGCAGCUCCCAUAAUACAGAAGGAACCCAGCCCAGCCCAAGCUGAUAAAACCUACAUGAAAUGAAAUGCCUGUCAGGGGGACACUGCUGGUGGAGAUGCAGGGCAGACACAGAGUGCAGCCAGUCCCAGCAGGCGGAUGUACAUGCCUUCUCCCGCAGAGACUCAUUCAGAGAAAUCCUUCACCCAGAUAGAAAGCUGAAAUAAUGCCAAGGGUCAAGCUGAGGAGAUUGUCCACGACAGCAACGAAGAACUAGACAAAGAUAACGAGGAAGAAGAGCAGAAGAGAAAAAGGAGAAGAAGGAAAAGGAAACCAACUCCUCAUCAAGACUCAAGAUGGAGCAGCUGCAGGGAGCGAGUCCAGCAGGAGUCAGUUCAGUCAAGCUCCUGUGGAUAAGGGUAUAUUAGCAAGAACAAGAAGAGAAAGCUGAAGAACAGGCAGCACAAAGAAAAGCUGCUCUCUAUGGGUCUGCCCCGGGAGGCUGCCCUGGGGUACAUGUUCCAAAAUGAUGGGGAGGUGGAGGAUAACGGGAGGAGAGCUGCAGAGGUGUCAGACUCUCAGGACAACACUGGAAAUCUAGUUGUCAGAUUCCUCUUUGCAUGUAGACAAGCCUUCUCUCCUGUCUGGGACAGUGGAUGAACUGCGUCGCAUAUCCAGCUGAAGUAAGCUCUACUCUCCUCCUGAAGCAGUUCUGCAGUCUCAAGGCCUUUGUUCAAGAGAAAGAGACAGACUGGAAAAGGCACUAGAGGAGCUGUACUGCAACUCCAUGUCUGCAGGAUAUGCCCCAGGAACCUCACUGAGCUGUCCCUGCAGAGGAAACCAAGUCAGUUUGCUGUUCCAGUACUGGAUGACAGACAUUCUUCCAAUGAAGGGAGCAAAGAACACACACAAGAACACACAACUUUCUACAACGCACCCAUGUGACUGUCAAGUCACAGUGAAAAUGAGACACUACUGAAGGGUCAUUUGUCCCAGGAGCUCCUGAGAAUUUCUUAUACACUGCAUUUCAGAAAUACUGAUAAUACUUUAUGAAAUACUUUAUUUUCUUUUAAUCUGUGCCUUUUGUCUAAUCCAUUUUUAUGCAUUAUAUUGUACAAGAAGACGACAAAGCCAGUUAAUCCUGAGCUAGGUGAAUCCUUCAAUCCACCCAGAGGAAGCUUGAAGUUGUCAUCAUUGACCGAGCUGGUUUUCAUGUAGUUUAAAUGGACCGAGCAUUUAAUUGCUGUUAACACAUGUCCUCCUCAUCUAAAGCCGUACUUGACAGAGAAGCAAAUGUCAUCUCUGCUGGAGCUGUGUUGUUUGCAGAUGUUAUGACAUUUAAACCCAGCCGGUUAACCUAAUAGCUACUCAAUUAUCUACACUAUGCUCUCCACAGAUCGAUUUUUGACCACAUUGCUAUUCCAUGUGCCUUUUCAAAUUUGCUGUUUUACUUUGCUGCACUCAAUGAAUUGACAGUCUUCAGGGAAGUAAUGCUGGUGCAACUAAUGGUGCCUUGGCAGGUAUUAUUUUGGGGUUGAGUGAUAAACAACAGUCUCCAUGUUUUUCACAACUUUUUUUUUGGGCCAUUAACUGAUUAUAGCAGCACAGUAUAUUGUUGAUGACCAUGGGAAUUAGUACUACCCACGGAGUUAGUUGCUUAACCUUCCACAUUAGCACACCUCUCUACAGCUCAGGUAAUCAGCUCGGGCUUUUCCAUAGCUCACUGCCAGCAGAUGGGUUCAGGAUUAAUUUGGCUGGACAGUGCCAUUGUAACGACUGAGUGAGAGCUCUCUGCCCCAUACCAGCUUCACAGGAACCGUUGUCAUUCCAGAACGGAUGCAUCAGUAGAGACCAGCAGGUUCUGCUGUACACUGUAACACACACAACUGUGAGCGUGUCAUAUUACAAUGGUGAACAAUUAACAUGAGCUGCCAUCUGUGGCCUCUUCUCAUAUGGAUGCACCCAGUGCUGUGGCGGAUUGAAGUUCAUGAAUUCAUUCUGCAGACAUUAGCCAGUGGAGAUAGUAAGGGCAAAGGAGACAUUGCCUGUCCUUCUUAUGUACGGUGCCUUGCAAAAGUAUUCAUACCCCUUGAACUUUUCCACAUUUUGUCACGUUAC